rnacentral:RNase_MRP_RNA from 1 species
CGAGUUUUUCAUGCUUGUCUCUCGGGGCUACAAACGAGUUCCUGGUAACUCUAUGCAUCGUGCCCUGGGUAAAGUCCCCGGGUCUAGGAUAGAAAGUAUCAAGGUGUAAAAUGUGCGUUUUUGUGCGCAUUCGCCUAUAUUUCGCGGAAUCUCGCCAGGCGUAGUGAUGAAGAAGGAUUCGAAAGGAUCCUGAAUCCUUGCCGUCCGGUUGUCUGCGGAAAUCUGCCAGAGUUCUUCACCUCAGAUAUGGACGAGUUGGUAGGACCUUUCCCCUCUAACUCCUCGGAGUGGGGGGAAGGAUACCGCCUACACGGAAUGGGGCUUACAUUGAGAAAUUU